UAGGGAAUCUUCCGCAAUGGGCGAAAGCCUGACGGAGCAACGCCGCGUGAGUGAUGAAGGUCUUCGGAUCGUAAAACUCUGUUAUUAGGGAAGAACAAAUGUGUAAGUAACUAUGCACGUCUUGACGGUACCUAAUCAGAAAGCCACGGCUAACUACGUGCCAGCAGCCGCGGUAAUACGUAGGUGGCAAGCGUUAUCCGGAAUUAUUGGGAGUAAAGCGCGCGUAGGCGGUUUUUUAAGUCUGAUGUGAAAGCCCACGGCUCAACCGUGGAGGGUCAUUGGAAACUGGAAAACUUGAAUGCAGAAGAAGAAAGUGGAAUUCCAUGUGUAGCGGUGAAAUGCGCAGAGAUAUGGAGGAACCCCAGUGGCGAAGGCGACUUUCUGGUCUGUAAAUGACGCUGAUGUGCGAAAGCGUGGGGAUCAAAGAGG
rnacentral:rRNA from 1 species